AUACGUGAGGGGUAAGCGUUAUCCGGAAUUACUGGGCUUAAAGGGCGCGUAGGCGGCUUUGUAAGUCAUCUGUGAAAUCCCGGGGCUCAACUCCGGGGCUGCAGGUGAUACUGCAGAGCUAGAGCUCGGUAGAGGCAAGUGGAAUUCCCGGUGUAGCGGUGGAAUGCGUAGAUAUCGGGAAGAACACCAGUGGCGAAGGCGGCUUGCUGGGCCGAUGCUGACGCUGAGGUGCGAAAGCGUGGGGAGCAAACAGGAUUAGAAACCCCGGUAGUCC
rnacentral:rRNA from 1 species